CCUACGGGAGGCAGCAGUGAGGAAUAUUGGUCAAUGGACGCAAGUCUGAACCAGCCAAGUAGCGUGCAGGAUGACGGCCCUCCGGGUUGUAAACUGCUUUUAGUUGGGGAUCAAAGGGGGCUCGUGAGCCCCGUAUUGUAUGUACCCUCAGAACAAGGACCGGCUAAUUCCGUGCCAGCAGCCGCGGUAAUACGGAAGGUCCGGGCGUUAUCCGGAUUUAUUGGGUUGAAGGGGGGCGUAGGCCGGCUUUUAAGUCAGCUGUGAAACUCCGCGGCUUAACCGUGGGAUUGCAGUUGAAACUGGAGGCCUAGAGUGCACACAGGGAUGCCGGAAUUCAUGGUGUAGCGGUGAAAUGCGUAGAUAUCAUGAAGAACUCCGAGCGCGAAGGCAAGUGUCCGGGGUGCAACUGACGCUGAGGCGCGAAAGUGCGGGGAUCAAACAGGAUUAUUUACCCCUGUAGUC
rnacentral:rRNA from 1 species